GACGAACGCUGGCGGCGUGCUUAACACAUGCAAGUCGAACGAUGAAGCUGGAGCUUGCUCCGGUGGAUUAGUGGCGAACGGGUGAGUAACACAUGAGUAAUCUGCCCUUGACUCUGGGAUAACUGCGGGAAACUGUAGCUAAUACCGGAUACGACACCUUCGGGCAUCCGAUGGGUGUGGAAAGAAUUUCGGUCAAGGAUGAACUCGCGGCCUAUCAGCUAGUUGGUGAGGUAAUGGCUCACCAAGGCGACGACGGGUAGCCGGCCUGAGAGGGUGACAGGCCACACUGGGACUGAGACACGGCCCAGACUCCUACGGGAGGCAGCAGUGGGGAAUAUUGCACAAUGGGCGAAAGCCUGAUGCAGCAACGCCGCGUGAGGGAUGAAGGCCUUCGGGUUGUAAACCUCUUUUAGUUGGGAAGAAGCGAAAGUGACGGUACCAACAGAAAAAGCACCGGCUAACUACGUGCCAGCAGCCGCCGCGGUAA
rnacentral:rRNA from 1 species